rnacentral:rRNA from 1 species
UACGUAGGGACCGAGCGUUGUCCGGAUUUAUUGGGCGUAAAGAGCGUGUAGGCGGCCUGAAAGGUCAGCUGUGAAAACUCGAGGCUUAACCUCGAGACGUCGGUUGAAACCAUCUGGCUAGAGUCCGGAAGAGGAGUGUGGAAUUCCCGGUGUAGCGGUGAAAUGCGCAGAUAUCGGGAAGAACACCCGUGGCGAAGGCGGCACUCUGGGACGGUACUGACGCUGAGACGCGAAAGCGUGGGGAGCGAACAGG